GUUCUCUCUUUGGUAGCACAUAUAUUAAAAUUGGAACAAUACAGGGAUUAGAAUGGCCGCUGUGAAAGGAUAAGAUACAAACAGUGAAGCAUUCCAUAUUUUA